GACGAACGCUGGCGGCGGGCUUAACACAUGCCAGUCGAACGGAAAGGCCCUGCUUUUGUGGGGUGCUCGAGUGGCGAACGGGUGAGUAACACGUGAGUAACCUGCCCUUGACUUUGGGAUAACUUCAGGAAACUGGGGCUAAUACCGGAUAGGAGCUCCUGCUGCUUGGUGGGGGUGGGAUAGUUUCGGCGGUUGGGGAUGGACUCGCGGCUUAGCAGCGUGUUGGUGGGGUAGUGGCUUACCAAGGCUUUGACGGGUAGCCGGCCUGAGAGGGUGACCGGCCACAUUGGGACUGAGAUACGGCCCGGACUCCUACGGGAGGCAGCAGUGGGGAAUAUUGCACAAUGGGCGGAAGCCUGAUGCAGCAACGCCGCGUGCGGGAUGACGGCCUUCGGGUUGUAAACCGCUUUCGCCUGUGACGAAGCGUGAGUGACGGUAAUGGGUAAAGAAGCACCGGCUAACUACGUG
rnacentral:rRNA from 1 species